rnacentral:lncRNA from 1 species
CACGGAUGUAUAUUCCGUCAAGACAAAAAGACUGUUGUUUCCUGUUGGAUAAUGAGGACUUUGCAUUUGUGAAGGAGAAAAGAGGAGACAGAAGUCUUCUAUGUGAUAUUGUACGACAGACACAGACUUGUAACUUCUUCAUUGAACCAUGUGAUGUGGACACGUGCUGUUUGGAUAGAGCAGGAGGGGGAGGUUGAGGGAGUCCUGCCCUCAAACUGGGUGGAUGCCUGAAGAUAGUAUGUGUGGUGGCCGAAUGAUCCAAAGCAGGCCACAAAACUAUACAGAGAGAAGGCCAACCCUAUUAAAGAUACUUGGGUUACCUUCAAGCUAAUUAAAGUUAAACAUACAUCAGGUAUAUAGAUGCAGCCAUUCAAAACGCGUGGGGU